CUACGGGAUGCUCCAGUGGGGAAUAUUGCACAAUGGGCGCAAGCCUGAUGCAGCCAUGCCGCGUGUAUGAAGAAGGCCUUCGGGUUGUAAAGUACUUUCAGCGGGGAGGAAGGGAGUAAAGUUAAUACCUUUGCUCAUUGACGUUACCCGCAGAAGAAGCACCGGCUAACUCCGUGCCAGCAGCCGCGGUAAUACGGAGGGUGCAAGCGUUAAUCGGAAUUACUGGGCGUAAAGCGCACGCAGGCGGUUUGUUAAGUCAGAUGUGAAAUCCCCGGGCUCAACCUGGGAACUGCAUCUGAUACUGGCAAGCUUGUGUCACGUAGAGGGGGGUAGAAUUCCAGGUGUAGCGGUGAAAUGCGUAGAGAUCUGGAGGAAUACCGGUGGCGAAGGCGGCCCCCUGGACGAAGACUGACGCUCAGGUGCGAAAGCGUGGGGAGCAAACAGGAUUAGAUACCCCUGUAGUC
rnacentral:rRNA from 1 species